UACGUAGGGUGCGAGCGUUGUCCGGAUUUAUUGGGCGUAAAGAGCUCGUAGGUGGUUGAUCGCGUCGGAAGUGAAAACCUGGGGCUUAACCCUGGGCGUGCUUUCGAUACGGGUUGACUUGAGGAAGGUAGGGGAGAAUGGAAUUCCUGGUGGAGCGGUGGAAUGCGCAGAUAUCAGGAGGAACACCAGUGGCGAAGGCGGUUCUCUGGACCUUUCCUGACGCUGAGGAGCGAAAGCGUGGGGAGCAAACAGGCUUAGAUACCCUGGUAGUCCACGCUGUAAACGGUGGGUACUAGGUGUGGGGUCCAUUCCACGGAUUCCGUGCCGUAGCCAACGCAUUAAGUACCCCGCCUGGGGAGUACGGCCGCAAGGCUAAA
rnacentral:rRNA from 1 species